GCAUUACACCCCCUUCAGCUGCAGCAUGCAUCCUCUGGUCCGACCUGUUAGACUUGAAGUAUUUGCAAUAUAUCCAGCAAUGGCUAGAGAAGGUGUGUAUAUUUCUGAGUCAGUAUCAUGAUACCUGAUGUGAGUUUGCAGAAAUAAUACUUUUAAUGUGAUAAAGUAGUAUUAUGAUGCUGGAGCGGUGCGACUAGACCGCAUGGACGCGGAAAUGUGGAGGGCCGGUGGUAAAAAUGGGAUCCAUGCAGUGGUUUUGAGGUGAUUGCACAUCUGCACGUGGACAGAAGGGUGGUGUGCUUUCAGAGGUUGGCUAAGGCCCUACAUUGAGUCUUUAUGAUGGAAAUUGGUGGUGUGCUAAGGCCCUCCAUGACUCUUUAUGAUGGAAAUUGGUGUGGCUGAUCCCUGCAGUAGAUAACGGCCGGGGGUAAAAUCGGAUCCAUGCAGUGUUUUUGAGGUGAUUGCACAUAUACACGUGGACAGAAGGGUGAUGUGCUAUGGCCCUCCAUGACUCUUUAUGAUGGAAAUUGGUGUGGCUGAUCCCUGCAGUAGAUAAGAUACAACCGGACGCGCAAGAAAUGGACGAGGUGACACCGGGACUCUGAACCAGAAUACUUAAAAAUAUAUUGUUGAACUGUAGGAUUAUAACGUCCUGUGUGAAUAAAGCAUUUGUCAACAAACA